UGUUGUUUGUUGUAGGGGCGCACGGUGGAUGCCUGGGCACAUUACGCCGAUGAAGGACGUGGAAGGCCGCGAUAGUCCUCGGGGAGUUGUCAAUCAAGCGUUGAUCCGAGGGUGUCCGAAUGGGGUAACCUUGCCGUAGUUGUGUGCGGUGACCUGCUGGUGAAUGUAUAGCCGGUGUGGGGGUGACGCGGGGAAGUGAAACAUCUUAGUACCUGUAGGAAGAGAAAAUAAUAAUGAUUCUGCGAGUAGUGGCGAGCGAAAGUGGAUGAUGGCUAAACCAUAUGCGUGUGAGACUUGCUAGGGGUUGCGUGUGUGGUGUUGUGGGGCCGUGGUGUUGGGUGGCUAGUGACGCCCUCCUGCGUGUGGUGUGUUAGCGGAAGUGGCUUGGAAUGGCCUGCCGUAGACGGUGAGAGUCCGGUACGUGAAAACGCAUCUUAUGUGGGGUGCUGUGGUGCCCGAGUAGCAGUGGGCUCGUGGAAUCUGCUGUGAAUCUGCCGGGACCACCCGGUAAGCCUGAAUACGUGAUGUGACCGAUAGUGGAUAGUACCGUGAGGGAAUGGUGAAAAGUACCCCGGGAGGGGAGUGAAAGAGUUCUUGAAACCGUGUGCCUACAAGCCGUCAGAGCCUCAUCUGUGGGGUGAUGGCGUGCCUUUUGAAGAAUGAGCCUGCGAGUCAGCGGCGCGUCGCGAGGUUAACCCGUGUGGGGUAGUCGUAGGGAAACCGAGUCCUAAUUGAGGGCGGGUGUGAGUGGCGUGUCCUGGACCCGAAGCGGGGUGAUCUACCCAUGGCCAGUGUGAAGCAUCGGUAAGACGUUGUGGAGGCGCGAACCCACGUAGGUUGAAAACUGCGGGGAUGAGUUGUGGGUAGGGGUGAAAGGCCAAUCAAACUCCGUGAUAGCUGGUUCUCCCCGAAAUGCAUUUAGGUGCAGCGUUGCGUGUUUCUUGUUGGAGGUAGAGCGACUGGAUGGUUUAGCGGGACUAUCAUCUUAGCGACAUCAGCCAAACUCCGAAUGCCAGCAAGGUGAGAGCGUGGCAGUGAGACUGCGGGGGAUAAGCUCCGUGGGUCGAGAGGGAAACAGCCCAGAUCGCCGGCUAAGGCCCCUAAGUGUGUACUAAGUGGAAAAGGAUGUGGGAUCGCGAAGACAACCAGGAGGUUGGCUUAGAAGCAGCCAUCCUUGAAAGAGUGCGUAAUAGCUCACUGGUCGAGUGGUUGUGCGCCGACAAUGUAGUGGGGCUGAAGUGCACCGCCGAAGCUGCGGAAACCACGUUUGUGGUUUGGUAGGGGAGCGUCGUGUGCUCGUGGAAGCUGCCAGGUGACUGGUGGUGGAGGGUAUGCGAGUGAGAAUGCAGGCAUGAGUAGCGAAUGACAAGUGAGAAUCUUGUCCGCCGGAUGACUAAGGGUUCCUGGGUUAAGCUUUUCUUCCCAGGGUGAGUCGGGGCCUAAGGCGAGGCCGUCAGGCGUAGUCGAUGGAUAACGGGUUGAUAUUCCCGUACCCGUGCAUGCGCGCCCAUGGUGAAUCAGUGAUACUAACCGCCCUGAAGCACGCGCAACAAUCCUUUUGGGUUGUGGUGUGUGUGGAUGCGUGGGGCCUGAUCUGGUAGUAGUCAAGUGAUGGGGUGACGCAGUGUGGUAGCCGAGCCACUUAUUGGAUUGUGGUGUAAGCGUGUAGCCCGGUGUCUAGGUAAAUCCGGAUGCUAUUAAGGGUGAGGCGUGAUGCGUACCCGUUGUGGGGAUGUUGGUGAUCCAUUGCUGUCGAGAAAAGCCUCUAGCGAUGUGUGUGUGCGGCCCGUACCCGAAACCGACACAGGUGGUCAGGUAGAGAAUACUAAGGCGACGGGUGAACUGUGGUUAAGGAAUUCGGCAAAAUGCCCCCGUAACUUCGGGAGAAGGGGGACCACUGCUGGUGACAGACUGGUUGAGCUGGUGGUGGUCGCAGAGAGUAGAGGGAAGCGACUGUUUACUAAAAACACAGGUCCGUGCGAAGACGUGAAGUCGAGGUAUACGGACUGACGCCUGCCCGGUGCUGGAAGGUUAAGAGGACCUGUUAGGCCGCUUUUGGUGGUCGAAGCGGAGAAUUUAAGCCCCAGUAAACGGCGGUGGUAACUAUAACCAUCCUAAGGUAGCGAAAUUCCUUGUCGGGUAAGUUCCGACCUGCACGAAUGGCGUAACGACUUCUCUGCUGUCUCAACCACAGGCCCGGCGAAAUUGCAGUACGAGUAAAGAUGCUCGUUACGCGCGGCAGGACGAAAAGACCCCGGGACCUUCACUAUAGCUUGGUAUUGGUGUUUGGUUCGGUUUGUGUAGGAUAGGUGGGAGACUGUGAAGCGGCCACGCUAGUGGUGGUGGAGUCGUUGGUGAAAUACCACUCUGAUCGUAUUGAGCAUCUCAACCUCGGCCCAUGAUCUGGGUUAGGGACAGUGCCUGGUGGGUAGUUUAACUGGGGCGGUUGCCUCCUAAAUGGUAACGGAGGCGCCCAAAGGUUCCCUCAGCCUGGUUGGCAAUCAGGUGGUGAGUGUAAGUGCAUAAGGGAGCUUGACUGUGAGACUGACGGGUCGAGCAGGAACGAAAGUUGGGACUAGUGAUCCGGCACUGGCUUGUGGAUGCGGUGUCGCUCAACGGAUAAAAGGUACCCCGGGGAUAACAGGCUGAUCUUCCCCAAGAGUCCAUAUCGACGGGAUGGUUUGGCACCUCGAUGUCGGCUCGUCGCAUCCUGGGGCUGGAGUAGGUCCCAAGGGUUGGGCUGUUCGCCCAUUAAAGCGGCACGCGAGCUGGGUUUAGAACGUCGUGAGACAGUUCGGUCUCUAUCCGCCGCGCGCGUGGAAACUUGAGAAAGGCUGUCCCUAGUACGAGAGGACCGGGACGGACGUACCUCUGGUGUGCCAGUUGUUCUGCCUGGGGCAGGGCUGGUUGGCUACGUACGGGAGGGAUAACCGCUGAAAGCAUCUAAGCGGGAAGCCUGUUUCAUGAUGAGGUUUCUUUUGAGGUUCCCCAGAGAUGAUGGGGUUGAUAGGCCGGAUCUGUAAGCAUUGUGAGGUGUUGAGGUGACCGGUACUAAUUGACCGAAUUAAACAACAAC
rnacentral:rRNA from 1 species